CCUACGGAAGGCAGCAGUGGGGAAUAUUGGACAAUGGGGGCAACCCUGAUCCAGCCAUGCCGCGUGUGUGAAGAAGGCCCUCGGGUUGUAAAGCACUUUCAGUGAGGAAGAACGCCUGGUGGUUAAUACCCAUCAGGAAAGACAUCACUCACAGAAGAAGCACCGGCUAACUCCGUGCCAGCAGCCGCGGUAAUACGGAGGGUGCGAGCGUUAAUCGGAAUUACUGGGCGUAAAGCGCGCGUAGGUGGCUUGAUAAGCCGGUUGUGAAAGCCCCGGGCUCAACCUGGGAACGGCAUCCGGAACUGUCAAGCUAGAGUGCAGGAGAGGAAGGUAGAAUUCCCGGUGUAGCGGUGAAAUGCGUAGAGAUCGGGAGGAAUACCAGUGGCGAAGGCGGCCUUCUGGACUGACACUGACACUGAGGUGCGAAAGCGUGGGUAGCAAACAGGAUUAGAUACCCGGGUAGUC
rnacentral:rRNA from 1 species